rnacentral:lncRNA from 1 species
GAGCCCAUUUUUGUCAAACAUUUUAAAUAAUUUGGUCCACUAUUUUAUUUUAAUAAUUUAAUUAUUUCUGAUCUGUCUGGUUCAAACGUCAUCAAAUUAUUGUCUCUACUCUAGGAUGUUUGAGAAGACUUGGAUACUUCCCGUUUUGUCAGUUAUUAUUUUCUCAUGCUCAUUUUGAAAUCUUAUUCCGUGUCAUCUCGUCAACUUCUUUC